UGGGGAAUUUUGGACAGUGGGCGAAAGCCUGAUCCAGCCAUGCCGCGUGAGUGAAGAAGGCCUUCGGGUUGUAAAGCUCUUUUAGUCGGAAAGAAAGAGUUGCAAUGAAUAAUUGUGAUUUAUGACGGUACCGACAGAAAAAGCACCGGCUAACUACGUGCCAGCAGCCGCGGUAAUACGUAGGGUGCGAGCGUUAAUCGGAAUUACUGGGCGUAAAGGGUGCGCAGGCGGUCUUGCAAGUCAGAUGUGAAAGCCCCGGGCUUAACCUGGGAAUUGCGUUUGAAACUACAAGGCUAGAGUGCAGCAGAGGGGAGUGGAAUUCCAUGUGUAGCAGUGAAAUGCGUAGAGAUGUGGAAGAACACCGAUGGCGAAGGCAGCUCCCUGGGUUGACACUGACGCUCAUGCACGAAAGCGUGGGUAGCAAACA
rnacentral:rRNA from 1 species